AUAUUGCACAAUGGGGGAAACCCUGAUGCAGCGACGCCGCGUGAGCGAAGAAGGCCUUCGGGUCGUAAAGCUCUGUCCUAAGGGAAGAAACGGACGGUACCUUAGGAGGAAGCCCCGGCUAACUACGUGCCAGCAGCCUCGGUAAUACGUAGGGGGCGAGCGGUAUCCGGAAUCACUGGGCGUAAAGGGUACGUAGGCGGCUAGGUAAGUCAGAUGUGAAAGGCAUGGGCUUAACCCAUGUAAGCAUUUGAAACUGCUUAGCUUGAGUCGAGGAGAGGAAGGCGGAAUUCCUGGUGUAGCGGUGAAAUGCGUAGAUAUCAGGAGGAACACCAGUGGCGAAGGCGGCCUUCUGGCCUUGGACUGACGCUGAGGUACGAAAGCGUGGGGAGCAAACA
rnacentral:rRNA from 1 species